GUAUUGGUGGUUCAGUGGUAGAAUUCUCACCUUCCAAGCGGGAGACUCGGGUUUCGUUCCCAGCCAAUGCA
rnacentral:tRNA from 1 species